rnacentral:rRNA from 1 species
GAUGAACGCUAGCUACAGGCUUAACACAUGCAAGUCGAUGGGAAACGCCAUUGCAGCUUGCUUCGAUGGUCGUCGACCGGUGCACGGGUGAGUAACGCGUAUCCAACCUGCCUCUGACCAAGGGCUAACCCGUCGAAAGUCGGCCUAAUACCUUAUGCAGUCGUCGGAAGUCAUCUGAUGACGACGACAGAUUUCAUCGGUGAGAGAUGGGGAUGCGUCUGAUUAGCUUGUUGGCGGGGUAACGGCCCACCAAGGCAACGAUCAGUAGGGGUUCUGAGAGGAGGGUCCCCCACAUUGGAACUGAGACACGGUCCAAACUCCUACGGGAGGCAGAAGUGAGGAAUAUUGAUCAAUGGGCGAGAGCCUGAACCAGCCAAGUAGCGUGCAGGAUGACGGCCCUAUGGGUUGUAAACUGCUUUUAUGCGGGGAUAAAGUGAGGGACGUGUCCUUCAUUGCAGGUACCGCAUGAAUAAGGACCGGCUAAUUCCGUG